CCGGGGACGAGGACACGUUUGCAUUCCUGGAAAAAUUUUUCAUGGUCCGUCAGGGUCCACAGAAGAUGCAUGUUCACGACAACGUCGAAACUGUUGUCCGCGAACGGAAGGUUUUCUGCAUCUCCCUGAUGGAAAUCGAUGGAAAGACCUCGGGCCGCAGCGCCUUGUUCUGCCCGUGCGAGCAUCUCCUCGGAGAGAUCGAGAGCCGUGACCCGAUGACCUAAUUCCGCAAAGGUCAUCGCCUGGAUCCCGUAACCGGUCCCGAUAUCCAGUACUUUCAGGGGUGUUUGUUUGGGGAGAUACUCUUUGAAGUAGCUCUGCAUCAAAACGAUCUCCUCGUCGAGAUAUGCAUGAUAUCGUUUCCGAUAUCCCGGACUCAGCUCGUUCCAGUGUUUGCGGAUCGUUUCGUUCGACAUGGGAUUCAGGUGAUGGUGAUGUCUUUGGUCAUCAUCGUGUAUUCGUUCGGGUAGAUCUCGAGAUUCAGGACAUCAUUGCCGACUCCCAGUUCUGCGAUUCAUAGAACAGAUAGAUCAGUCCUGCGUCGUUCUGGGUGAUGUUCUGGAUCUCGUCGUACAGUUCAGCCCGCUCCGCCUGAUCGAAGGUCGUGCUUGCUUUCAG
rnacentral:rRNA from 1 species